CCCCAAUAGACCCCAGUGUUUAGUACUCCCCUUUCUGUGUCCAUGUGUUCUCAUUUUUCAUCACCCGCCUAUGAGUGAGAAUAUGCGGUGUUUCAUUUUCUGUUCUUGUGUCAGUUUGCUGAGGAUGAUGUUCUCCAGAUUCAUCCAUGUCCCUACAAACGACACAAACUCAUCAUUUCUGAUUGCUGCAUAAUAUUCCAUGGUGUAUAUGUGCCACAUUUUUCCAAUCCAGUCUAUUAUCAAUGGGCAUUUUGGUUGAUUCCAGGUCUUUGCUAUCGUAAACAGUACUGCAAUGAACAUUUGUGUACAUGUGUCCUUAUAGUAGAACGAUUUAUAGUCUUUUGGAUAUAUACCCAGUAAUGGGAUUGCUGGGUCAAAUGGAAUUUCUAUUUCUAAGACCUUGAGGAAUCGCCACACUGUCUUUAUUUUUUGAGACAGGGUCUCACUCUGUCACCUAGCCUGGAAUACAAUGGCACGAUCAUAGCUCACUGCAGCCUUGACCUCCUGGGCUCAGAUGAUCCUCCCACCUCAGCCUCCCAGGUAGCUGGGACUACAGAUGCACACCACCAUGCCUGGCUAAUUCUUGUGUUUUUUUGUAGCGAUAAGGUCUCCCUUUUUUCCCAGGCUGAUCUCUAACUGCUGGGCUCAAGUGAUCUGCCCACCUCAGCCUCCAGCCUCCCAAAGUGCUGGCAUUACAGGUGUGAGCCAACAUGCCCAGCCCAGAUAACCCUAAAUGAAGGACAUUCUACAAAGUAGCUGACUAUAAUCUUCAAAAAGUGUCAAGGUCAUGAAGUUCAAGAUACUGAGGAUCUGUUGCUGAUUCAAUGAGACUUAGACACAAUUGAAGAUAAUAUGUGAUUCUGAACUGGAUUAUUUUACUGUGAAGGAUGUUAUUUGGGGAAAUGAGUGAAACUUGAAUGGAGUUUGAUGAUAACAUGGUAGUGAUGUAAUCAAUGUUAAUUUCUUGAUUGUGAUGGUUUGAUUGUGAUUAGGAAGUCCUUGUUUGCAGGAAAAACACUCUUCAGGGUUGAUGGGGCAUCAUGUCAACAACUACUCUCAAAUGGUUGGAGAGAGAGAUUUUGGACUGUACUUGCAACUUUUAAGAAGGUACUGGAAGAAGAAGAGGAACAGCGUACAAGAACUACAAGUACACCUUUUGUGGGAAACAGCCAGUUCAAAAUCUUCCCAAUCAUCAGUUAUACUUUUCUUGGGAUUAUGAAAUUAAAACAUUCUGUACUUGGUUAUUUUCACAAGCCUUAUCAUCUUCAAAUACUCCCUCCUUUGCCCAUCCCUCAAAAGGUUAACAGUGGGAAAUUUUUCUUUAAAAGUAAACUAUGUUCUUUUCUUUAAAAUAACCGUUAUAGAGAAAUUAUUCCUUUAAGUAGUCAUGCUUUUAAAUUGCUUGGAGGUGAUUACAUAUGAACCUUCCUAUAAACUUGUAUCUCUCUCAUUUAAAAGAAAAGAGGAAGGAAAGGAAUUAGCCCAUUAAUUAUUUAAAAUACUUGGUGCAACUGUUUCUAUGAAUUAAUCCAGGCACUUGGAAGACAAUUACACUCCGUGUUAAUAUCAUUGCCAACCUUUUCCACUAUGCUGCACUCCAAAUACUAUUGUGUUUUCAAUGACAACAUUCCCUAUUACAUAUGCAUAUGAAAAACAGGCAUUUUCAUCAGAAUUACCGUAAUAGCAUUAAGAGAUUAUUUUUUCCAAUUUCCUUGGAAGAAAAUUCACUUAAAUUAGAUUAUUUAUUACUCGAUUGCUCUUGUAUCUUGCCUGUAUGUUUAGGUAACUGGAACCCGUGAAAGUAUAAACUUCAGAAUAAAAAGCAUGAUUUUAUACAUUAAUGACUUCAAAUAAAAGAGGAAUGCCACAUUUGUGCAUCACUUCUUUCGAGAAAGUUAAGUCUGUUCUGCUUCGGAGAGAUAACACUUUUUGUCCCAGUAGGUGGCCCCCCUGGUGUAGCCAUUAGUUGCUAAUUACUUGCAAACAAAUAAACAAUUAACUCCUUAAGCUUCUGGCUGGGCAAGUGUUCAUUGACAUGCUAAAACUUUCUAAGACAGGAUUUUAAUUAGUGAUGUUCUAAAUCCAGCCCCCUUGUCAGCGUAGCUAUAAGGUGAAUUGCAGGAAGACCCCAGCCUUAUACACGUGAGGCUGAGCCAGCAGAGGCCAGAGCUAUUGC
ensembl:lncRNA